UUGGGGAUAACACCGCGAAAGCGGUGCUAAUACCGAAUAAUAUGUUUGUCCUUUGGGAAUGGACAUCAAAGGUGGCCUCUGCAUGCAAGCUAUCACUUAAGGAUGGGCCCGCGUACCAUUAGCUUGUUGGUAGGGUAAUGGCCUACCAAGGCAACGAUGGUUAGCUGGUCUGAGAGGAUGGCCAGCCACACUGGAACUGAGACACGGUCCAGACUCCUACGGGAGGCAGCAGUGGGGAAUCUUGCGCAAUGGGGGAAACCCUGACGCAGCAACGCCGCGUGGGUGAUGAAGGCCUUCGGGUCGUAAAGCCCUGUCAAGUGGGAAGAAACAUGUCAUGGCUAAUAUCCAUGGCACUUGACGGUACCACUGGAGGAAGCACCGGCUAACUCCGUGCCAGCAGCCGCGGUAA
rnacentral:rRNA from 1 species